UUUUUUUUAUAGGAUGAGGAACCAGAGCCUUUGAAUACUCCUGGAGUUGAAAUUCCAGAACAUACACAGGAGAAUAUUCAGACAAACAAGACAUGGGCAUCAUAUAAACCAUCAGAUUUGUCACAAAAGCUUAGCUCUCCUUUGAGAAGGAGAACCUCAAGUGUUCCAUCUCAUUCUCGAGAUGAAAAUAUGCCUGGUCCCUCAACAGUUCAUACAACACCAAAAAAUAGCUCUCGAAGACGACCUGCAAUAGUUGUGAAGUCACUGACUUCCUCUGAUGUAGCUGCAAAGUACGACAAGUUAUUAGAUUGCCGCCUAGAAAUAGCAGCAUAUACAAAAAAAGAGUUGGAGCAAAGA